UGUCGCCAUCUAGUGGUGAAAUUUAUGUACAUCACUUUAAGAGUCGAGCGUUAAUGAUGUCAUUAGAAAGCAGACAGGUCAGAACAACGCAACGCAUGGGUUUUCGCAGUAACACGGCUACUGUUAUACAAUUGGUCCUAGAAAGCACUGUCGUUUUACACCUACUCCAACCGGCUUCAUUAAAGACUCAACGCAAGCGCUCCAGUCUGUGUGAUUCCUUUGGAGAGGAGUUUAGCUGAGUGUCGACUCCGGCAAGGCGUUGGAGGUUGAGGACAUGACGGUCAACACGGUGAAUCCAAACCAAGACAAACUCAGAAUCUUCAUGAUGGAGACGACUGGGAUGCAACCUGCGCUGAUAAAUUUAUUUUCUACAGACAGAAAACUAAUGCAUAAUGAAUUGCAACACAAACAUCAUGUGAAAAUGACAAGACAACCAUUAUCAUCAUCAAAGUUGUGUUGAAGAAUUACCUUCUCGUCUCUGUGUGGAUGACCUUGAUGAUGAUGUGAACACAUGGAACUCACAAAAUCCGGGCAAGUGGGGGUGCAGUAUCGGGCCGACCUGUGGUGAUGUACUCAAUUCCAGAGCUGCACAGGGGCUCUGAUGGAGGAUUUUUCCAGUGGCCCUAAUCCUCUUCCGUAGAGUUUCAGCCUGCAGCUUCAGUGUUGUUCUGAACAGACUGACGCCUCCCGGCCCUAAUAAGCGAACAGGAUCAGACACCCAGACUCAAACAACAAACACUUCUUGUUUCCAGGAAUCAGAGCACCGAACAAACAACACCCUUCAUAAAUAUCAAGUUGCAUUCAUAUAUUUACUCAGCACACAACAUGAGGUCAGAGGUCAGAUAAAACAAACUGUGAGCUCAAAAAAUGUCAAAUAAAAGGGCACAGUUCAAUCCCACAUAGCAAAUAUUUAAUCUUAUCAACAUGUUUUGGUGGAUUUUGAGUAAUAUGUCUGAAAUUGAGCCAGAGUGGCAACUUGGUAGAGAAUCUGUGGAGGGAGAUGAAGAUUAGGGUGAUGGAACAGAGGCCUUCCAACCUCUGAGCUCAUUUAUCAAAUGAUCUUCUGCUCUGUCACUAGUCUGCACUUCAACCCGUGCACCACCAGGUGUCGCUGUUGGACCCGGA